rnacentral:lncRNA from 1 species
AAAACCUCAAGCACAUCCUUCUCACCCUUCAGUUGCUUAUUCUUCUUAAGCAGACUAACACGGACGCGCUGCAGCUUAUCCACUCUCUUCUUAGCAUAAGUAGCGAAACGAAGCUCAGAAAUUGCAAGCUUAAGAUCUUGAAUCUGAGGCAAAUCAAUCUCAGCAGCAAAGGGAGCAGGCUUUGGCGCCACUUUAGCAGCAGAGUCCACCUUAC